UACGUAGGGGGCAAGCGUUGUCCGGAUUUAUUGGGCGUAAAGGGCGCGUAGGCGGCGCGGUAAGUCACUUGUGAAAUCUCUGAGCUUAACUCAGAACGGCCAAGUGAUACUGCAGUGCUAGAGUGCAGAAGGGGCAAUCGGAAUUCUUGGUGUAGCGGUGAAAUGCGUAGAUAUCAAGAGGAACACCUGAGGUGAAGACGGGUUGCUAGGCUGACACUGACGCUGAGGCGCGAAAGCCAGGGGAGCAAACGGG
rnacentral:rRNA from 1 species